AGUCGUCCACAUGCCGCGAUCGUGAUCUCGGAGCAGCCUCGGAAAAACAUGCUAUAGCGGCUCUGUACCGCUGCCAGUAGAAGCAGCUAGAGCAGCAGGAGCUGCGCACGGAUAGGCAGGGCCUCAUCACUGGGAGAAUAGACGAGGGGAGGCCGCAGGUAACACUAAGGGAACCAAGUCCGGAGAUCGCUAGGAGGCAGUGCUCGGACCCUUUCUGCACACACUGACCCCGGUUCCCCGCCGAGCUGCUGCCUGGAUGCGGAGGUGAUCUUACUGCAGCCACUGCGGACCGGUCUGAACGCGGACACACAGCCCCAGGCGCCGGCAGCUCUCAGCCGGCCGCCGGCACUCAUCCCAGCCGGGCACCUCCGCGGAUUUCAGACACCGUACCCGGGGCUGGGAGGCUCGUAUGGGCAGAGCGCUGUGAGGACGCAGCUGAUCGCUAGAGAACACCGCGGUGGGGGCUGAGAGGAGCGGGGGACGGAGCAGCGGCCAUGGAGAACGCGCACACCAAGACGGUGGAGGAGGUGCUGGCGCACUUCAGCGUCAAUGAGAGCACGGGACUGGGCUUGGAGCAGGUCAAGAAGCAGAAGGAGAGAUGGGGGCCCAAUGAACUACCAGCAGAAGAAGGGAAAACAUUAUUGGAGUUGGUGUUUGAACAGUUUGAAGACUUAUUAGUUAGAAUAUUGCUGCUAGCUGCCUGUAUAUCCUUUGUAUUGGCAUGGUUUGAAGAAGGUGAAGAAACAAUCACAGCCUUUGUAGAACCUUUUGUAAUUUUACUUAUAUUGGUAGCAAACGCGAUUGUGGGGGUGUGGCAGGAAAGAAAUGCUGAAAAUGCCAUUGAGGCACUCAAGGAGUAUGAACCUGAAAUGGGCAAAGUGUAUCGACAGGACAGAAAGAGUGUCCAGAGGAUAAAGGCGAGGGAUAUUCUCCCUGGUGACAUUGUUGAAGUUGCUGUUGGUGACAAAGUGCCAGCAGAUAUAAGGCUAACUUCUAUCAAAUCUACAACUCUAAGAGUAGACCAAUCAAUACUCACUGGAGAGUCUGUAUCUGUCAUCAAGCAUACUGACCCCGUCCCCGAUCCACGAGCUGUGAAUCAGGACAAAAAGAACAUGCUUUUUUCUGGUACAAACAUUGCUGCUGGUAAAGCUAUAGGGGUAGUGGUGGCAACUGGUGUCAACACGGAGAUCGGGAAGAUUCGUGAUGAGAUGGUAGCCACUGAGCAGGAGAGGACUCCUUUGCAGCAGAAAUUGGAUGAGUUUGGGGAACAGCUUUCCAAAGUCAUCUCCUUAAUUUGUAUUGCUGUUUGGAUCAUCAAUAUCGGCCACUUUAAUGAUCCUGUCCAUGGAGGCUCUUGGAUAAGAGGAGCCAUUUACUACUUCAAAAUUGCUGUCGCCCUUGCUGUGGCUGCUAUUCCAGAGGGUCUGCCGGCUGUAAUCACCACGUGUUUGGCUCUAGGCACUAGAAGAAUGGCCAAGAAAAAUGCAAUUGUCAGGAGCUUGCCAUCAGUGGAAACGUUGGGUUGUACUUCGGUUAUCUGCUCGGACAAGACUGGCACUCUAACCACUAACCAGAUGUCUGUUUGUAGGAUGUUUAUUAUUGAUAGAGUUGAAGGCGAUAAUUGCUUUUUGAAUGAGUUUUCUGUAACUGGCUCUACAUAUGCACCUAUAGGAGAAGUGUUGAAAGAUGGUAAGGUUGUGAAAUGCCACCAAUACGAUGGACUGGUAGAGCUUGCUUCAAUAUGUGCCCUUUGCAAUGAUUCUUCUUUGGAUUUUAAUGAGGCAAAGGGAGUUUAUGAGAAGGUUGGAGAAGCUACGGAGACUGCUCUUACCUGCCUGGUUGAAAAAAUAAAUGUAUUUGACACGGAUCUUAAGGGACUAUCUAGAAUAGAACGUGCUAAUGCCUGCAAUUCGGUUAUAAAACAACUAAUGAAGAAGGAAUUCACCUUGGAGUUUUCGAGAGAUAGAAAAUCCAUGUCUGUUUACUGUACACCAAAUAAGCCAAGUCGUACCAACAUGAAUAAAAUGUUUGUAAAGGGUGCUCCUGAAGGCUUGAUAGAACGUUGUACCCAUAUUCGUGUUGGAAGCGCAAAAGUGCCUUUGACUCCAGGAAUUAAACAAAAGAUUUUGAGUGUUAUUAGAGAGUGGGGCUCAGGCAGAGAUACUCUGCGCUGCCUGGCGCUGGCAACCCAUGAUAACCCACUACGGAAAGAGGACAUGAAUCUUGUGGAGUCUUCCAAUUUCAUCACCUAUGAGACCAAUCUAACGUUUGUUGGCUGUGUUGGCAUGCUGGACCCUCCAAGAACAGAAGUGGCUGACUCGGUAAAAAUGUGUAGGCAGGCUGGCAUCAGAGUGAUCAUGAUUACCGGAGAUAAUAAAGGAACUGCAGUGGCAAUUUGCCGACGCGUUGGCAUCUUCCGUGAAGAUGAAGACGUUUCAGAAAAAGCUUUCACUGGGCGCGAGUUCGACGAGCUGUCCCUAGCUGCACAGAGGGAUGCUUGUAUGAAUGCACGCUGCUUUGCUCGGGUGGAGCCUUCACAUAAGUCAAAAAUUGUUGAAUUUCUGCAGUCUUUUGACGAGAUCACAGCCAUGACUGGUGAUGGUGUAAAUGAUGCUCCUGCACUUAAAAAAGCUGAGAUUGGGAUCGCUAUGGGAUCUGGAACUGCUGUGGCGAAAACAGCUUCUGAAAUGGUCCUGGCCGAUGAUAACUUCUCUACAAUUGUAGCUGCUGUGGAAGAAGGGCGCGCCAUCUACAACAACAUGAAGCAGUUCAUUCGUUACCUGAUCUCCUCUAAUGUUGGAGAAGUGGUUUGUAUUUUCUUGACUGCUGCCCUGGGGUUCCCUGAGGCAUUAAUACCGGUUCAACUGCUGUGGGUUAAUCUAGUGACUGACGGUCUUCCUGCCACUGCCUUGGGCUUCAAUCCGCCAGAUCUGGACAUCAUGAGCAAGCCUCCACGCAAUCCCAAGGAACCGCUGAUCAGUGGCUGGCUAUUCUUUCGUUACCUAACAAUUGGAUGUUAUGUUGGUGCAGCUACAGUUGGUGCAGCAGCCUGGUGGUUCAUUGCAGCUGAAGGUGGACCAAGAAUUACUUUCUAUCAAUUGAGUCAUUUUCUUCAAUGCAAUGAUGAAAACCCAGAGUUUGAAAAUGUGCCAUGUGAAGUCUUUGAAUCUCCUUAUCCAAUGACCAUGGCGCUGUCUGUUCUGGUCACUAUAGAAAUGUGCAAUGCUUUAAACAGCUUGUCUGAAAACCAGUCACUACUGAGAAUGCCUCCUUGGGAAAAUGUGUGGCUUCUAGGUUCUAUAUGCUUAUCCAUGUCUCUUCAUUUCUUAAUUCUUUAUGUGGAACCAUUACCGCUCAUCUUCCAGAUCACUCCCUUGAACUUGAUUCAGUGGUUGAUGGUGCUGAAGUUUUCUCUACCGGUUAUACUUCUGGAUGAGACACUUAAAUAUAUUGCCCGUAACUACUUGGAACCUGGUAAAGAGUGUGAAAAGCCUGCCGCCAAACCGUGCACUUUUGCCGCAUGCACUGAGGGGAUUUCUUGGCCGUUUGUGUUCAUUAGUUUUCCUUUGAUUAUCUGGCUUUACAGCACAGACACUAACAUUACUGAGAUGUUUUGGUCUUGACUGACAUUUUUACAGAGUGGAAACUUAACCAUUUUUUUUUUUUAAUUAUUGUUUAACGCAACUGUCUAUAUCUGCUGAAUUUUCACAUGAACGUAGCGCUGGUGAAGGCAUGUUUGUUCUCCUGCUAGGUCUUAUUUUGCUCCCCCCUCCUCCACCCACGCUUCUGUAAGCCAGUAUGGAUAAGAGGCAUCCAAAUUUUUUUUUUUUUUUUUUUUAUGUACCCUUAGUGUUCAUUGACAUGUACAGAUAACACUAUUUUAUGCAAUUAUUUUUUGUAGAUGGGGGAAUAAAGCAUGUACAGUGUUCUGUUUCAUAAUAUUAUUCUCGUUUAAAGAAAAAUAAACCUACACAGGGAAGCAAAAAGGAACUAUCAUUUGAUCCAACGGACAUUAUUUGCAGAAAAUUAGCAGAUUUAGGGAUAGCGUGAUUAAUUGCCUAAAACUAUAACGCAUGAUCUGUUUCUGCAUGGUCAUUUUGGAUUUGAUUUGAUAUCAUAAAGCUGUCUAGUGUGUUUUUGUUUUGUUUUUCGAACUAUAUAUCCCAUAAGCCAUUUUUUUUCUGCACUAAGCAGAUAAUUGCUACCUCAGUCAGUAUUUUUUGUUUUUUAGUCUCUCAUUUCAUUUUUGUUUUCUGUUUUACACCAUUCUCUGUAAGAGGUAUGCCUAUUGUUGCUAGUGCAGAUCACCCCCAUAAGUUAAAAUUGUGUUUCUACUCCCAUAGAUUUUAAGGUUAUUUAUUUAACGGUCUAAUGUAUUUUAUUGUAGCAGACUUUUUUUUUUUUUUCCUUUCACCCCUAUCCCUCCUUCUUUUCUCCUCCCCAGUGUUGCCCAUUUUGUGGGUUAUACUUCACAACCUAGUCAAAAAUAAAACCUUUUUUCAUGGACAGAGAAAUCAAUGUCUGGUCUUACAACUGCUUUAUCACCCAAGUUCCUUAUUUCUCUCCUUCUCUCCAUAUUUUUUUUGUUAAAAUGUUGUGUGUGCACGUGUUUAAAAAAAUAAAAAAUAAAAAAAGCGGGGGGGGGGGAAAGCACUACAAAGAUGAAGCUGGAUGAUAUUUCACAGAUGUUGGCACACAACCAUUCAUCUGUUACUGCGAGUUCUUCCGCCAAUCUGUAUUAAGCAGAGUUGGGGAAUUAACUGUAUAGCUAUUUGUCUCUUAUUUUUUUUACCUUUUUUUUUUGUAAAACCUGUAAAUAGCACAUGACCAAAUGAACAUAAUGUAUAGAUCUAUUUUUAUUUUAAAGUGACACUAAUGACCAUCAUUUAACUGUUAGAGCAUGUUUUCAGGAUGACUUCCCUCAGCCUCCAAUGUUUAGGUCAUUAACCGUCCUAAUUGUGGUGUUUUUCUCCAAAUGCCUUCCAACACUCAUCAACUAAAAACUGGAGUAAUCCCCUUAAACAAUUGUGCAAAGAUGUAAGGUUGCUUUGUUGUGUGCAUGUGUGCGUUUAGAGGCAGUGAUCAAAAUAAAUGAGGGGGGGUGAGAAAAGACAUGUUUAGCUUCAGAAAAGUCCUAAAAAACCUCAAAACCCGCCAGCAGAACAAUUGCGUUGGAAGAUCCCGUGGAGGAUUUGAUUGUUCAGUGCUCAGCGAAGAUGAAAUAGAUUUAAAUGUUAGUCCUGUUGCUGUUUUAAGGGAAACCCUAAAGCCUAUGUAAUAUUUGGCCCCUCUAAUGUCUGGGAUAAAAAUCUAAGCAGCCAAGUUUGUGUUUUGCCAUGUAAGAUGUCAUUAGUUCAUGUACAGUAUCAUCGUAGUGCAUGCUUUCAGUUGUAAGUAGCCAAAUGUCUGUAUUAUAUAAUUUCCUUUAUAAACAGCUAUGUACAAUAUGCACUUGUUCUAUUUAUAAAGUCAUUCAAAAGGUACAGAUGUUGACUGUUUUAAAAUGUAAUUCGCCAUGUCACCAUUUCAGAACUUUUAGGUUUUUUUAAAAAACUUGUUUUAAGUGUGCAAAUGUACUUUUGCACUGUAAUAAUGUAACUUAUUAAAUUCUAAAGCAGAUGACCGUUUGGUGCAAUAUGAUAUAUUGUGAUGCUUAUGUUACAAGAAAACAAUGUCGGUUACUACAAACGCAUGUUUGGCCUUUAGACAAUUGUAAAUAAGUUCAGUUUUUGCUGACAUAAGCAUCCUACAGACACCAUGGUUUCAGGUAAAUAAAAGUUUGUUCUUCUAUACACUA